rnacentral:rRNA from 1 species
GACGAACGCUGGCGGCGUGCCUAAUACAUGCAAGUAGAACGCUGAAGGAGGAGCUUGCUUCUCUGGAUGAGUUGCGAACGGGUGAGUAACGCGUAGGUAACCUGCCUGGUAGCGGGGGAUAACUAUUGGAAACGAUAGCUAAUACCGCAUAAUAGUAGAUGUUGCAUGACAUUUGCUUAAAAGGUGCAAUUGCAUCACUACCAGAUGGACCUGCGUUGUAUUAGCUAGUUGGUGAGGUAACGGCUCACCAAGGCGACGAUACAUAGCCGACCUGAGAGGGUGAUCGGCCACACUGGGACUGAGACACGGCCCAGACUCCUACGGGAGGCAGCAGUAGGGAAUCUUCGGCAAUGGACGGAAGUCUGACCGAGCAACGCCGCGUGAGUGAAGAAGGGUGUCGGAUCGUAAAGCUCUGUUGUAAGAGAAGAACGAGUGUGAGAGUGGAAAGUUCACACUGUGACGGUAUCUUACCAGAAAGGGACGGCUAACUACGUG